GUACUCUGGCAGUGCAUACACUAAAACUGGAACGACACGGCGAAGAUCAGCAUGGUUCCUCGGUGAGAAUGACUCGAACUCGUGGAGCGUUGCAUAACUUC
rnacentral:snRNA from 1 species